rnacentral:rRNA from 1 species
UGGGACUGAGACACGGCCCAGACUCCUACGGGAGGCAGCAGUGGGGAAUAUUGCACAAUGGGCGAAAGCCUGAUGCAGCGACGCCGCGUGAGGGAUGACGGCCUUCGGGUUGUAAACCUCUUUCAGCAGGGAAGAAGCGCAAGUGACGGUACCUGCAGAAGAAGCACCGGCUAACUACGUGCCAGCAGCCGCGGUAAUACGUAGGGUGCGAGCGUUGUCCGGAAUUAUUGGGCGUAAAGAGCUCGUAGGCGGCUUGUCACGUCGGUUGUGAAAGCCCGGGGCUUAACCCCGGGUCUGCAGUCGAUACGGGCAGGCUAGAGUGUGGUAGGGGAGAUCGGAAUUCCUGGUGUAGCGGUGAAAUGCGCAGAUAUCAGGAGGAACACCGGUGGCGAAGGCGGAUCUCUGGGCCAUUACUGACGCUGAGGAGCGAAAGCGUGGGGAGCGAACAGGAUUAGAUACCCUGGUAGUCCACGCCGUAAACGUUGGGAACUAGGUGUUGGCGACAUUCCACGUCGUCGGUGCCGCAGCUAACGCAUUAAGUUCCCCGCCUGGGGAGUACGGCCGCAAGGCUAAAACUCAAA